GUAGGUGAACCUGCGGAAGGAUCAUUAAUGGGUUUACCGCCUCCGGGCACAAUCCCCACCCUUUGUAACUGCGGCCAGGAUUCGGCGCCUGGCGGGGGACCCCCUUCGUUCGCGGAGGGCCCCCCGCCUGCCGGAAUUAGCCAACCCUGCCUAGAAAAUUGAAGUCUGAGAACAAGUUAAAUUAAACAAAACUUUCAACAACGGAUCUCUUGGUUCUGGCAUCGAUGAAGAACGCAGCAUCUGACUGACU
rnacentral:misc_RNA from 1 species